GCCCCUGCAAUCGUGAGCCAUCAAAGUUGCUUCAAUAUAUAAACCUCGCAGAAGGAGUCCGUCAAGGGCACCAGUGGACGUCAUGUCUCCAGAUUACUUCCUUCAAGUUAACGAUAGUCGAUCCGUAACUGGCAUCAGCAAGCAGGCAUCAGUAAUACGAACCGUCUUCCUUAGACACUCACGCGACACGCUGUAUUAUUAGACACCGCAUGGCAUCGAGCGCAAUCUGUAAUGAUAUUUGCCGCUUCUAUCAUUUUGGAUUUCAGUCUGGCCUCGUCAAUGACACCGGCAUUCCAUUGACC